UGGGGAAUAUUGCGCAAUGGGCGAAAGCCUGACGCAGCAACGCCGCGUGAGUGAUGAAGGCCUUCGGGUUGUAAACCGCUGUCGUAGGGGAGAAAGGGUCGUUGAAGAAACGACUUUGAUCUAUCCUAGGAGGAAGUCCGGGCUAAGUUCGUGCCAGCAGCCGCGGUAACACGAGCCGGACAAACGUUAUUCGGAAUUACUGGGCUUAAAGGGUGCGUAGGCGGUGCGGUAAGUGCGGUGUGAAAUCCCACGGCUCAACCGUGGAAUUGCGCUGCAUACUGCCGUGCUAGAGGGAGACAGGGGUAAGCGGAACUGAUGGUGGAGCGGUGAAAUGCGUUGAUAUCAUCAGGAACACCGGUGGCGAAAGCGGCUUACUGGGUCUCUCCUGACGCUGAGGCACGAAAGCUAGGGUAGCGAACGGGAUUAGAUACCCGUGUAGUCCCUGAGCGGGCUGGCAAGGCGCAU
rnacentral:rRNA from 1 species